rnacentral:tRNA from 1 species
GUCUUCGUGGCUCAGUUGGUUAGAGCGUUGGUCUCAUAAUCCGAAGAUCGUGAGUUCGAGUCUCACCGAGGACA